rnacentral:rRNA from 1 species
UACGGUGGGGGCAAGCGUUGUUCGGAAUUACUGGGCGUAAAGGGCGCGUAGGCGGCCUUCUAAGUCGGACGUGAAAUCCCUCGGCUUAACCGAGGAACUGCGUCCGAUACUGAAAGGCUUGAAUCCGGGAGAGGGAUGUGGAAUUCCAGGUGUAGCGGUGAAAUGCGUAGAUAUCUGGAGGAACACCGGUGGCGAAGGCGGCAUCCUGGACCGGUAUUGACGCUGAGGCGCGAAAGCUAGGGGAGCAAACGGG